UACGUAGGGACCGAGCGUUGUCCGGAAUCAUUGGGCGUAAAGAGCGUGUAGGCGGCUAUUUAAGUCCUGCGUGAAAUCCUGCGGCUCAACCGCAGACGGUCGUGGGAAACUGGAUGGCUAGAGUGCGGGAGAGGAGAGUGGAAUUCCCGGGUGUAGCGGUGAAAUGCGCAGAUAUCGGGGAAGAACACCCGUGGCGAAGGCGGCUCUCUGGAACGCAACUGACGCUGAGACGCGAAAAGCGUGGGGAGCAAACAGG
rnacentral:rRNA from 1 species